GCUAAAAAUCUAGCCCAAACUAACCCCCUAUGCCCCCCCCCCCAUUUUCUUUAACGAACUAAAACAUUUUUCCAUUUUAGUAAAGGAGAUUGAAAAACUCAUUGGAGCAAUAGACACAGUACCGUAAGGGAAAGAUGAAAUAAUAAUGAAAAACCUUAAGCAAGAAAAAGUAGAGAUUUACCCUCGUACCUUUUGCAUCAUGGUUCAACUAGUUCAAUCAAGCAAAAAGAAUUACAGUUUGACUCCCCGAAACUAAGCGAGCUACUUCGAGGCAACUUUUUGAGUAAACCCGUCUCUGUUGCAAAAGAGUGGGACGACCCCCAAGUAGCGGUGACAGACCUAACGAGCUUAGUUAUAGCUGGUUACUCGAGAAAAGGAUUUUAGUCCAACUUAAAGCUUUUUUUACUCUACUAAAAUUUUAUCUAGGCUUUAAAGUAAUUCAAAUAAGGUACAGCCUAUUUGAAACAGGAAACAACCUCAGCCGAUGGGUAUAAUAUACUAUCCUACAUCUUCCACUAGUAGGCCUAAAAGCAGCCACCUAUAAAAAAGCGUCACAGCUUAGUCUAGUGAAAUUGUUCAAUCCCAUUAACCACUUUUAACCCUCCCCCCCAUACCGAGUAAUUCUAUAUCCUUAUAGAAGAUUUUCUGUUGAAACUAGUAACAAGAAGAAAGACCUUCUCUUAAAUGCAAACAUAAGUCAGAAAGGACAUACCACUGACACUUAACGUCUAUGAAUUAAAAUUAGCAACUUCUUCAAGAAAAACCUAAUUUACUCUACGUUAACCUAACACCAGAGCACUUCAAGAAAGAUUGAAAAAGAAAGAAGGAACUCGGCAAAUAUUAACCCCGCCUGUUUACCAAAAACAUCGCCUCUUGCAUAAAAAUAAGAGGUCCAGCCUGCCCAGUGACCCAUGUUCAACGGCCGCGGUAUCCUAACCGUGCGAAGGUAGCGUAAUCACUUGUUCUUUAAAUGGGGACUAGUAUGAAUGGCAUCACGAGGGUUACACUGUCUCCUUUUUUUAAUCAGUGAAACUAAUCUCCCCGUGAAGAAACGGGGAUAAAACUAUAAGACGAGAAGACCCUAUGGAGCUUUAAACCUCCCUUCAAGUGCCAGCUCCCCUUUUUCUUCACUUACUACACUAACUUUAACACUAUGAAGUCAAGUUUUAGGUUGGGGUGACCGCGGGGCACAAAAAAACCCCCACGUUGAACCAGGCCUCAAGCCUUGAGCAAUGGACUACAAUCCUAUGCACCAAAAAAUUUACAUCAAUUGACCCAUUAAUUUGAUCAACGAACCAAGUUACCCUAGGGAUAACAGCGCAAUCUACUUCAAGAGCCCCUAUCGACAAGUGGGUUUACGACCUCGAUGUUGGAUCAGGGUGUCCCAGUGGUGCAGCCGCUACUAAUGGUUCGUUUGUUCAACGAUUAAAACCCU
rnacentral:rRNA from 1 species